UGCACGAAAUAGUUCACUUUUCAAUGCGGGAACACAUCACGUAUGACUUGGGACUUUUGGAGACUAUUCGGGACAAAUCUUAGUUUCUCCGGACGUCAGAAGUCAUUAUGUACUCGAUGGUGAAAUCUACAACAGCACAUCAGGCUGAGUCGGCUUGUCAGCAAUUGUUGAAGCGUGAAAUCCGCUAAUGUUAACUACACAAAGGAAAAACAUGUCUUUGAGGAAUAGAUAAUAGUCGUCACAGCCCUACAUUUUACCGGGAGAAAUAGCCAGAUACAGCGACCUAAGCGGAAGAUUCUGCGUUCGACCACAUCAUCUUUGACGCUGUGAAGACCUGCGUCUGCAGUUCGAGAGCGUGAUGGAAAUAUCACAGGUCAGCAUAGAGUAGGACGAGAAGGGCAAGAGUCCAACACAGUCAGCGUAAUUGGAAUACACGACAUUAUUUAUU